GAUUAAGUUAUUAAGGGCGCACGGUGGAUGCCUUGGCACUAGAAGCCAAUGAAGGACGUUACUAACGACGAUAUGCUUUGGGGAGCUGUAAGUAAGCUUUGAUCCAGAGAUUUCCGAAUGGGGAAACCCAGCAUGAGUUAUGUCAUGUUAUCGAUAUGUGAAUACAUAGCAUAUCAGAAGGCACACCCGGAGAACUGAAACAUCUUAGUACCCGGAGGAAGAGAAAGAAAAUUCGAUUCCCUUAGUAGCGGCGAGCGAAACGGGAAGAGCCCAAACCAACAAGCUUGCUUGUUGGGGUUGUAGGACACUCUAUACGGAGUUACAAAGGACGACAUUAGACGAAUCAUCUGGAAAGAUGAAUCAAAGAAGGUAAUAAUCCUGUAGUCGAAAAUGUUGUCUCUCUUGAGUGGAUCCUGAGUACGACGGAGCACGUGAAAUUCCGUCGGAAUCUGGGAGGACCAUCUCCUAAGGCUAAAUACUCUCUAGUGACCGAUAGUGAACCAGUACCGUGAGGGAAAGGUGAAAAGCACCCCGGAAGGGGAGUGAAAUAGAACCUGAAACCGUGUGCUUACAAGUAGUCAGAGCCCGUUAAUGGGUGAUGGCGUGCCUUUUGUAGAAUGAACCGGCGAGUUACGAUUUGAUGCAAGGUUAAGCAGUAAAUGUGGAGCCGUAGCGGAAGCGAGUCUGAAUAGGGCGUUUAGUAUUUGGUCGUAGACCCGAAACCAGGUGAUCUACCCUUGGUCAGGUUGAAGUUCAGGUAACACUGAAUGGAGGACCGAACCGACUUACGUUGAAAAGUGAGCGGAUGAACUGAGGGUAGCGGAGAAAUUCCAAUCGAACCUGGAGAUAGCUGGUUCUCUCCGAAAUAGCUUUAGGGCUAGCCUCAAGUGAUGAUUAUUGGAGGUAGAGCACUGUUUGGACGAGGGGCCCCUCUCGGGUUACCGAAUUCAGACAAACUCCGAAUGCCAAUUAAUUUAACUUGGGAGUCAGAACAUGGGUGAUAAGGUCCGUGUUCGAAAGGGAAACAGCCCAGACCACCAGCUAAGGUCCCAAAAUAUAUGUUAAGUGGAAAAGGAUGUGGCGUUGCCCAGACAACUAGGAUGUUGGCUUAGAAGCAGCCAUCAUUUAAAGAGUGCGUAAUAGCUCACUAGUCGAGUGACACUGCGCCGAAAAUGUACCGGGGCUAAACAUAUUACCGAAGCUGUGGAUUGUCCUUUGGACAAUGGUAGGAGAGCGUUCUAAGGGCGUUGAAGCAUGAUCGUAAGGACAUGUGGAGCGCUUAGAAGUGAGAAUGCCGGUGUGAGUAGCGAAAGACGGGUGAGAAUCCCGUCCACCGAUUGACUAAGGUUUCCAGAGGAAGGCUCGUCCGCUCUGGGUUAGUCGGGUCCUAAGCUGAGGCCGACAGGCGUAGGCGAUGGAUAACAGGUUGAUAUUCCUGUACCACCUAUAAUCGUUUUAAUCGAUGGGGGGACGCAGUAGGAUAGGCGAAGCGUGCGAUUGGAUUGCACGUCUAAGCAGUAAGGCUGAGUAUUAGGCAAAUCCGGUACUCGUUAAGGCUGAGCUGUGAUGGGGAGAAGACAUUGUGUCUUCGAGUCGUUGAUUUCACACUGCCGAGAAAAGCCUCUAGAUAGAAAAUAGGUGCCCGUACCGCAAACCGACACAGGUAGUCAAGAUGAGAAUUCUAAGGUGAGCGAGCGAACUCUCGUUAAGGAACUCGGCAAAAUGACCCCGUAACUUCGGGAGAAGGGGUGCUCUUUAGGGUUAACGCCCAGAAGAGCCGCAGUGAAUAGGCCCAAGCGACUGUUUAUCAAAAACACAGGUCUCUGCUAAACCGUAAGGUGAUGUAUAGGGGCUGACGCCUGCCCGGUGCUGGAAGGUUAAGAGGAGUGGUUAGCUUCUGCGAAGCUACGAAUCGAAGCCCCAGUAAACGGCGGCCGUAACUAUAACGGUCCUAAGGUAGCGAAAUUCCUUGUCGGGUAAGUUCCGACCCGCACGAAAGGCGUAACGAUUUGGGCACUGUCUCAACGAGAGACUCGGUGAAAUCAUAGUACCUGUGAAGAUGCAGGUUACCCGCGACAGGACGGAAAGACCCCGUGGAGCUUUACUGUAGCCUGAUAUUGAAAUUCGGCACAGCUUGUACAGGAUAGGUAGGAGCCUUUGAAACGUGAGCGCUAGCUUACGUGGAGGCGCUGGUGGGAUACUACCCUAGCUGUGUUGGCUUUCUAACCCGCACCACUUAUCGUGGUGGGAGACAGUGUCAGGCGGGCAGUUUGACUGGGGCGGUCGCCUCCUAAAAGGUAACGGAGGCGCUCAAAGGUUCCCUCAGAAUGGUUGGAAAUCAUUCAUAGAGUGUAAAGGCAUAAGGGAGCUUGACUGCGAGACCUACAAGUCGAGCAGGGUCGAAAGACGGACUUAGUGAUCCGGUGGUUCCGCAUGGAAGGGCCAUCGCUCAACGGAUAAAAGCUACCCCGGGGAUAACAGGCUUAUCUCCCCCAAGAGUUCACAUCGACGGGGAGGUUUGGCACCUCGAUGUCGGCUCAUCGCAUCCUGGGGCUGUAGUCGGUCCCAAGGGUUGGGCUGUUCGCCCAUUAAAGCGGUACGCGAGCUGGGUUCAGAACGUCGUGAGACAGUUCGGUCCCUAUCCGUCGUGGGCGUAGGAAAUUUGAGAGGAGCUGUCCUUAGUACGAGAGGACCGGGAUGGACAUACCUCUGGUGUACCAGUUGUCGUGCCAACGGCAUAGCUGGGUAGCUAUGUGUGGACGGGAUAAGUGCUGAAAGCAUCUAAGCAUGAAGCCCCCCUCAAGAUGAGAUUUCCCAACUUCGGUUAUAAGAUCCCUCAAAGAUGAUGAGGUUAAUAGGUUCGAGGUGGAAGCAUGGUGACAUGUGGAGCUGACGAAUACUAAUCGAUCGAAGACUUAAUCAA
rnacentral:rRNA from 1 species